rnacentral:rRNA from 1 species
AAAUUGAAGAGUUUGAUCAUGGCUCAGAUUGAACGCUGGCGGCAGGCCUAACACAUGCAAGUCGAACGGUAACAGGAAGCAGCUUGCUGCUUCGCUGACGAGUGGCGGACGGGUGAGUAAUGUCUGGGAAACUGCCUGAUGGAGGGGGAUAACUACUGGAAACGGUGGCUAAUACCGCAUAAUGUCGCAAGACCAAAGAGGGGGACCUUCGGGCCUCUUGCCAUCAGAUGUGCCCAGAUGGGAUUAGCUUGUUGGUGAGGUAACGGCUCACCAAGGCGACGAUCCCUAGCUGGUCUGAGAGGAUGGCCAGCCACACUGGAACUGAGACACGGUCCAGACUCCUACGGGAGGCAGCAGUGGGGAAUAUUGCACAAUGGGCGCAAGCCUGAUGCAGCCAUGCCGCGUGUAUGAAGAAGGCCUUCGGGUUGUAAAGUACUUUCAGCGGGGAGGAAGGUGUUG